rnacentral:misc_RNA from 1 species
GUGCCCUUUAUUGGGGCUCAAAACUUUUUUUUUUUUUAACCCAAGACUUGUUUGUGUGGGGUUUUUGCCAUUGCACUCAGGUAAACGUAACACUUUUGUGUUACAUUACCCCCCUCCCCAAUUUUUUUUUUUUUAUAAAACACAUGUUGAAAUAAGAAUGUAAUAUAUUUAUUUUGAAAAU